CAGCAAGUUGCAGGAGCAGCUGCUGCUAGCAAGUUCCCUCCAUCCUGAGCCCUGUCGUGUCCCCACUCGCUCUAUAGAGAUGAGGGAGUGGAAGGUCAUGGGUAUUUUCAACUGGAGGUGAUCUGAUUUUAUGGAGCAGCAAAAGACUUUGGCUAAAUUCUGCUCUCAGGAACAUGAUUGUAUAUCCACAAUAACUAUUAAAGUCAAAGCAGUGACUAUGGAUUUACAGUCAGAGUGCAAAAUCUGAUCCUUUAUCAUUGCAAUUUAUGGGGAACUUGUUGUUAAGGUGCAACAAUGGAAAAUGUUCUGUUACCUCUUUAAUGAUUAAAGUAGCAUGACCUGUAUUACUUACCGCCGCAACAAUUAGCUUUGAAGCUGAUGAAAUGAGCCUCAUGACUUCUUCUUGUGAUGUGUAUGAGGGAGGAGGAAAUUGAGAUAGUCUGGAAGGGAAGCUGUGCAGCUUCUUUGUUCUAGUUAAGCGUGAAAGAAUAUAUUUUAAUCCAUGUUGAAAGAAAAUUCUAUACAUAUCAAUAGGAUAUAAUAUACCACAGGUGUUUGUGAACGUCAGGAAUGUAAAUAAAUUGCCAUGAUUUCAAAACAGACAGACUGCUGUGAAUAUGGUGAAAUUUAUUACACUAUUCUAUGAACUGUUAUGCAAAGGCUUGUAUGUGGGACAUUUUGAAGCUGUGGUGUAAAAUAAUUAGCUUCUCAAUAGUUUCUGUUUUAUUAACAGAAUUAAAGUCAUGGAAAAGAUUUUUUUACCUGAAGUUAUAAAUUGGAUUUCUGUGCUACGCGUUCAGAGAUUAUUUUUACAUUUAUGUUUCUGUUGGGAAAAGAAUAGGGAGAGCCCAGCUCUUGAUUUGAUCCUUAUAGAGAGAGGUCUGUUUUGUGUUUCUAUGCAUGAUGAUCCACGUCUCCUCUUCCUGUCCUUUUACACAGAGAUUGCCAGCACCCUUCCUGCUUGCAGCUGUUUAUCGGAGUUUAGGUUCAUGAGUGAAUUAUAUUCCAUAAAGCAAUGCCAGUCUAAAGGCUCCUCCCUGCAAUUUUCAGAUUUUCUCCCACCCAGUUAUUCUGUGCUCACCAUUUCCUUCAUACAUACACUUCUCAAACCUCCCCACAAGCCACCACUACAAUGUUCCUCUUCCAGCAAAGAAGAGGAAAGUCAGUGGCACUUCUAUUCCAUCUGUAGGUCAGAGAGAUCCAUCUGGAGAGUGGAAAUUCGUCAACCUGAGUUUCUUGAGCAACAGUUACUCCCAUAACUCAAGCGCCAGUGGCUUAGGAGUCAUACCUGGGUCUGCUGUGUAGCAGUAUAUUGCACUGCUGAUGUUUGUGGCCUGGCCCAAGACAAAAUGCUUAAUAGAAUUUACUGUGAUCUAUACAUUACUUUUUUGUACUCCUUACUAAGACUGGGAAAUGUCUGUCAGUUACAAAAUCCUUCAAAACAAACAUAUUAUUGCAUUUAUUUAAUGCAACUCUGACUGUAAUUAUCUUCUUCAGAGGGACUUUAAUAAAGCUGCAAAAUG